rnacentral:rRNA from 1 species
AUUGAACGCUGGCGGCAUGCCUUACGCAUGCAAGUCGAACGGCAGCACGGGGCAACCUGGUGGCGAGUGGCGAACGGGUGAGUAAUGCAUCGGAACGUGCCAUUGAGUGGGGGAUAACGUAGCGAAAGUUGCGCUAAUACCGCAUAUUCUGUGAGCAGGAAAGCAGGGGACCGCAAGGCCUUGCGCUCUUUGAGCGGCCGAUGUCAGAUUAGCUAGUUGGUGAGGUAACGGCUUACCAAGGCGACGAUCUGUAGCGGGUCUGAGAGGAUGAUCCGCCACACUGGAACUGAGACACGGUCCAGACUCCUACGGGAGGCAGCAGUGGGGAAUUUUGGACAAUGGGCGCAAGCCUGAUCCAGCCAUGCCGCGUGAGUGAAGAAGGCC